rnacentral:rRNA from 1 species
ACGAACGCUGGCGGCUGCCUAAUACAUGCAAGUCGAACGGAGUGGCGAACGGGUGAGUAACGCGUGAGCAACCUGCCUAUGACAGUGGGAUAGCCUCGGGGAACCGGGAUUAAUACCGCAUAGUCAUAGAUGGGCUCGCGUCUGAUUAGCUAGUUGGUGAGCUAACAGCCCACCCAGGCGACGAUCAGGAGCCGGUCCGAUAGGAUGAACGGCCACAUUGGAACUGAGACACGGUCCAAACUCCUACGGGAUGCAGCAGUGGGUAAUAUUGCACAAUGGGGUAAAGCCUGAUGCAGCGACGCCGCGUGAACGAAGAAGUUAUUAGUAUCGUAAAGUUCUGUCCUAUGGGAAGCAGUACCAUAGAAGAAAGCUCCGGCUAAAUACGUGCCAGCAGGCGCGGUAAUAC